rnacentral:lncRNA from 1 species
AGUCCUGCCAACAGCUGUGAGUGAGCAUGGACGCAGAUCCUCUCCCAGUGGAGCAUUUGGAUGACCACGGCUCUGGCUAACACCUCACUUACAGCCUUGGGAGAGAUUCUGAGUCAGAGGCAUCCAGCUAAAUUGACCCACAGACACGGUAAAUCAGGGAUUUCUUCUUGGUUUGGAUCCACUGUUGAUUUUAGGUUACAAAAAGAUGGCAGAUUGCAUCUUGGGCACUCUCUUGUAUGACUUUUUGGAGAAGCCAGUUUUCAUGUUGUGAGAGGCCUGGCAGAGGGGCCCAAAUGAGUUCGCUGGGAAGCGGAUCACAGAAACCAUGAGGCCUAUAAAAGCCCCAGGCUCAGCCAGAGCAGAGCAGAUGAUGGAUGACCAGCUGCAGAGAAGAGCUACCCUUUCUGCUGACAGCAGAAGAUGUCCCAACAACCAGCAGAAGAGAGAAGCUAUCCAUUCUAGGGCCUCUUCUCUGCUGAGAGCUUCAGAAACCUGCAGAGACAUCGAGACUACCAGCUGCAGAGUGGAACAAUCCACUCCAGGGCCACCUCUCUGCUGAGAGCUAAGAAGACAAUGAGAUGACCUGCCUGCUAGGAGGAGCUUCCCUCUCCAGGGUCUCCUUUCUGCUAGGAGCUGAACUCUCAUUGGAACAUCCUGGCUGUGGAAAGGAGCUACCCUCUGCAGGUCUCCUGUGUGCUGUUCUAUUGAUCAAUAAAGCUCCCCUUCAUCUCGCUCAUCCUCCACUUGGCUCUGUACCUCAUGCUUCCUAGUUGCAGGACAAGAACUCGGGACCUACCAAAUGGCAGAGCUAAAAGAGCUAUAACACAGGACUGAAACAUGCCCCCUGCUUGCCACAUUGAGGGCAAAGAGAAGGAGAUAAGAUCUGUGCCUUCUCAGGCAGCCCAGACCUGGGAGCUCCCUGAGCCAGGGCUGUGACUCCCUCUUUGGGGUCCUGUGGUGCCUAGUAUCUCCAAGCUUCCAGGUGCCACUGCAUUUCCCGGUGCCAGCUGGGGAAGCUUCCUGCAGUGCACCUGGUCUGGCCACAGCCUCACAGAGAGUCAGUGCCUGUGCCAGCACCUGUAACUGCCCGCCCCAUUGCAGCAGCCGGCAUGUCCGAUUGCACACUGGCUGAACCCCAUGCUCCCUCACACACCCCUUGCCACUCCAUGCCUGACUUACCCUUGGCAGGUAUGGGAUCCAGGCCAGUAGUGUCAGCCAAGUAAAGCCUGCCAGGCCAGGUAGGCAGAACAAACCCAGCGGGCCUAAGCAAGACUUGGGCAAAGACAUCACCAGCCAGAAAAACAAUAUCCCAAGAAUCUUGUGACACUAGGCAUAGUGAAGUUCUUUAUUAAUUUGUAGAUUUUUAACCUGGAAAAUUCUAAUAUUUUCAACUAUUAAAAAAGAUAAUCCCCAAAAUAAUGCUUUAUUGUCAUGUAAAAUAUUAAAUAGAUUGUAUGUAACUUAGCUAUAUUAUUCUAAGAUAAAAUUCAUUAACUUGUCUUUAAGAAACUAGUUCCUAAAAUGCACUUUGAACUGUAUUUAUAAUCUCACUAGUCCUCUACUUAAUUAGGAAGUGGAAUAAAAUAUUUGAUAUAUUUUCUUUUUAUAUUUACAAAAGUCACCAUUUAAAUUCUUUGAAUUUUAACAUGUUAUACUUUUGGAGGAUCCACUGAGACACUAAAGUGGGUUCAUAAAGCCAACCAAACUGUGAUAGCACAGAAAUGUACUUCAGGAGCUGUUUAGGAGGAGAGACUUUUCUUUCUCCUCAAAGUGAUUCUCAAAUAGCAAUAGAGUCCUGGUGCAGUGGCUCAUGCCUACAAUCGAGCACUUUGGGAGGCCAAGGUGGGAGAAUUGUUUGAGCCCAGGAGUUCAAGAUCAGCAUAGGCAACAUAGCGAGACCUCAUCUCUACAAAAAAUACAGAAAUUAGCCAGGUGUGCCGGCAUGUGCUGUGUUUUUUGUCCAGCUACUUGGGAGGCUGAAGUGGAGGGAUUUCUUGAAACUGGGAGGUCAAGACUGAAGUAAGCCAUGAUCCUGCCACUAUACUCCUACAUGGGGGAAAGAGCAAGACUCUGUCUC